rnacentral:rRNA from 1 species
GAUGAACGCUGGCGGCGUGCCUAAUACAUGCAAGUCGAGCGAACAGAUGAGGAGCUUGCUCCUCUGACGUUAGCGGCGGACGGGUGAGUAACACGUGGAUAACCUACCUAUAAGACUGGGAUAACUUCGGGAAACCGGAGCUAAUACCGGAUAAUAUAUUUAACCGCAUGGUUCAAUAGUGAAAGACGGUUUUGCUGUCACUUAUAGAUUGAUCCGCGCCGCAUUAGCUAGUUGGUAAGGUAACGGCUUACCAAGGCAACGAUGCGUAGCCGACGUGAGAGGGUGAACGGCCACACUGGAACUGAGACACGGUCCAGACUCCUACGGGAGGCAGAAGUAGGGAAUCUUCCGAAAUGGGCGAAAGCCUGACGGAGCAACGCCGCGUGAGUGAUGAAGGUCUUCGGAUCGUAAAACUCUGUUAUUAGGGAAGAACAAAUGUGUAAGUAACUAUGCACGUCUUGACGGUACCUAAUCAGAAAGCCACGGCUAACUACGUG